AGGGAUGAAGGCCUCUGGGCUGUAAACCUCUUUUCUCAAGGAAGAAGAUCUGACGGUACUUGAGGAAUAAGCCACGGCUAAUUCCGUGCCAGCAGCCGCGGUAAUACGGGAGUGGCAAGCGUUAUCCGGAAUUAUUGGGCGUAAAGCGUCCGCAGGCAGCCUUUCAAGUCUGCUGUUAAAGUGUGGAGCUUAACUCCAUCAUGGCAGUGGAAACUGUUGGGCUUGAGUGUGGUAGGGGCAGAGGGAAUUCCCGGUGUAGCGGUGAAAUGCGUAGAUAUCGGGAAGAACACCAGUGGCGAAGCGCUCUGCUGGGCCAUAACUGACGCUCAUGGACGAAAGCCAGGGG
rnacentral:rRNA from 1 species